GUAUUAGAUUAUAAUUCAUGUUCCUUUCAGAACAAAGAUUAAUCAGACAAAAUUCAAGUGAAAUAUUUACAGUGCACAAAAGGUGGAUGCAAUGAAGCAUUUAUUAAUGAUCCUUCCGCAGGUUCACCUACGGAAA
rnacentral:misc_RNA from 1 species